GUUUACUAGCCGCCACCGAUCCCUUUUUCCUUUUCUGUUUUUUUUGUCUGUGUUCAUUUUCACACCUGGUUUCAAUUGCGUUUAUUUCUGUGUGUAUAUAGGGUACUUGUUUCCUGCCUUAUUUCGUGCGGGAUUAAGCUUGUGGGGGUUUUGCGCUCAUUGAUCGUUGAUAUUUCUUGUUCUCGUAUUUACGCACGUGUAGUUUAUUUUUUCGGAACUGAGUUUGUUCUUCCGUGCGUUUUGCACGAGUUUCGGUUUUGUUUUCACUGAUCUGCUCUAUGAACUGUGAGACCUUAUAUAGAGGGAUCUGUGCCAUUUUUGUAUUGGUGGACUAUAGAUAUAUUAAACACGCUUCUCAGUAUCCCUGCUCUCCUGCGCCUGACUCCUACACCUCUCACCGAGACGCACCUUAUCACAGGCGGUAUGCAAAUUGGAGUGGGUCUAGGGUUUCUGGGAUAAUGGUGUUGAUGUGAGCCAUGACCAGCCUUUCAAAGCACUUCAUGGCUACAGACGUGAGUGCUACAUGUCGAUAGUCAUUUAGGCAGGUCCUUGUUAGCUUCAAGAAUAUUAAAUAUGAUGUGACUCAUCUUUGGAGAGCUAUCCUAUAGAAAAUACCGUUAGGCCUACUAAUACAGUUACUAGUUUUAGUUUGUAGGGUUCUAUAUUAUGUCUGGUGGAAAAAGUACCCAGUUGUCAUACUUGAAUAAAAGUAAAGAUACCUUAAAAGGAAAUGACUCAAGUAAAAUUUUAAGUAACCCAGUAAAAUACUACUUAAAAGUCUAAAGUCUAAUUCCUUAUAUUAAGCAAACCAGACAGCACAAUUUGUAUUCAUUUUUUACGGAUAGACAGGGGCACGUCAUUUCAACGUCUAGUUUUUAUUUACAUUUGGUUGAGUUGUCAACUAACGUGAAUUCAACUUGAACUAAAAAUGUCACCAUGUCAUUGGACAGGUUGAAAAUUAUUUUAUUUUGAUUACUUUUUGCAAAUCCAAUCAGUUUUCCAUGUUGAUUCAACAUCAGCGAUUUAAAUGUUUUGUUGUUUAAAUUACAUGGAAACAAUGUUGAUUCAACCAGUUUUUGCCCAGUGGGCGUGACCAGAAACAAAACAAUGUGACCCAUUUAAAAAUGGACCUGAAGGGGGACCUUAAAAAAGCCAAGUCAUAUCAUUUAUAUGCUAUUAUUCAGAAUAUUAUUUGUUUAUUUAACCUUUAUUUAACCAGUGAGUCCCAUCCUUGGUUAACUUUUACCCAGAGUGCCUUUAGGAGCUCAGUGAAUUUCCGUCCAUUUGCUCCCUGUGGUCAAUGUCAAGUCCUUGGAGAAACAUGAGAGUGUAUGACUGACUGACCGCAAAUAGCAACAGACAGGCCACAAUAGGCCUACAACAAUACUCAUUGGUUGUUUGAUUCACUGAUUCUACAGAAAGCUGAAGCUUAAAUUGUGAAAUUUGCUGGGCGAAACUAGUACCCAAAUCACCAGCCUAAUGUGGAAGUCCCCUUUUCAGUGUACCUCUGUCUGAUUAUAUAUGAAAGUCGAGAGGUUACUCAAGGGGUAGAGGAGGGUGUGGGUGUAUGUCAAUAGUACUGUAAAAGCAAACCCAAGAGUAUAAAGCUGAACCUACUAAUGUAUGUGUAAUCACUCUCUUUGACGCACACAGAAAGUAGCCAAAAGCAAAAUGUGUCAGAACUGUGGGAAAGAAAGCAUUGUGCAACAACUCCUAACUUCCCAGAGCUACUUGUUGAGUGGCUUUGUCAAACAACUAAAGGGUCUAGGGUGGUUACAUUCUUAACUGCUAUGUCAUUUUAUUUCUUGGUGGGAUGGGAAUAGGCAAAAUAUAAAAUAUGUAGAGCACUUGUCUCAUCACACAGGCAAGUAGUCCAACCAAGUCCAAUCAGACUUCAGUAGCCUUUUCUGACAUCUUGCGUGAGUUAUCUGUGAAAGAGACUAAAAUUAAAUCAUUUGCAGGCCUAUGUAUCAAGAAUUGGAAAUUCCCAUCUAUUUGAUGAUGUCAUUACACACAAGCUUUGAAGCAAGAGAGCGCUGCGAUGCAUCAUGACAUUGCCACAUUGCCGUCUGAUAUCAAGAGGAGAGUAACGUAUUUACCUCGACUGUUUUAAAGAAAACUUGAGGAAUAUCUAAAGCCUGUGUCAUCAUUAGCAAGGAAAGUCUGUCUUCCACGCCAACCUUGGAUCGGGAGUUAAACUACUCAGCACAAGUUGAAGUUUAAAAUCGGCAGGCAUAUUGUGACGCUGCGGUUGUCCAACCCAAGACCACGUCCAUUUCACUGGAGAAGCUAUGAUGACAGACGUCUUGAAUAUGUUUUUUAUCGGGACAGCGUUCACUGUCCUCGCCGCGCUGAUGGGAAUGGUGGAUUCAAUUGGUGGUCUCAUGCAUGUCCAAGACGCGGAACCUGCAGAAAAUGUACAGUUGGACAGCAGUACUGACAUACGGAUGUCUUCAACCCAUUCGAGAGGUUCAGGGAGUACCAAACGCAUUGGACCAUGAUGAGGACAUCAUGUGGAGUAGAAUUAACACGAACAGGCUUGGCUUAUGUUAUGUUUUCGUUUGUCAAUUACUGCUUGCACUGUACAAUGUGUACACUGAUUUUUUACAAAACAUUACUGAGCCUUUCAUCAUGGUUCGCUUUCAGUUUCACUGGUUGGUGUUCCACUCCCACUGGGCAAAAACUGGUUGAAUCAACGCUGUUUCCACGUCAUUUCAACCCCCGAAAAAUCUAUGUGAUGACGUUGGAUUUCAUCAACGUCAUCAUCGUAUGGGCACUGUCUCUUUUUUAACUUGAAUCCAAUGACAUGGUGACAUUUUUUGUUGAACUGUGCAAUUCAGAACUAGACGUUGAACGGACGUCUGUGCGCAGUGGGAUUAGAUUUACACAGGUCACUACGUGUUUGAUGAGUUGUUUAACUUGUUUUGCACAUUUGAAGAACACCCUAGUUGAUGUUUAUAGUAGGCUAUUACUAAAGUACGAGGUCAUAUUGACAGCUAUUACGAUGUAGUUCUAUCCACUCUAUACUAUACUAAUACUUGGUAGAGUGUAACGGAUGUGAAAUGGCUAGCUAGUUAGCGGGUACGCGCUAAUAGCAUUUCAAUCGGUUACGUCACUUGCUCUGAGACCUGAAGUAGGGUUUCCCCUUGCUCUGCAAGAGCCGCGGCUUUUGUGGAGCGAUGGGUAACGACGCUUCGUGGGUGACUGUUGUUGAUGUGUGCAGAAGGUCCCUGGUUCGCGCCCGUGUCGGGGCGAGGAGACGGUUUAAAGUUAUACUGUUAUGGUGAUAUUAUACUGUUACACUGUUACAUUGAUGCUGUUGACCCGGAUCACUGUGUACUCAUCUGUAUACAAAAUGUACUCAUCUGUAUACAUGGUAUUGCCUAUAUCUUGUAGGCUAUUUGUUGUAUAUUGAAGAUCACAUGAAGGGUAAAGGAAAAAGGGCUACAUAAUGCACUAAUUGACUGUUCAUCAUGCACUGUAAUAUUGUGUCAUAAAAAAAGUUGUAAAGAAUAAACACUUUUAUAGGCUAUUGUCAAUUAAAUGAAUAGACACUA